rnacentral:rRNA from 1 species
AUUGAACGCUGGCGGUAGGCCUAACACAUGCAAGUCGAACGGCAGCACAGUAAGAGCUUGCUCUUACGGGUGGCGAGUGGCGGACGGGUGAGGAAUACAUCGCAAUCUACUUUUUCGUGGGUGAUAACGUAGGGAAACUUACGCUAAUACCGCAUACGACCUACGGGUGGCAUCAUCGGAUCUUCGGCCCUUGCGCGAUUGAAUGAGCCGAUGUCGGAUUAGCUAGUUGGCGGGGUAAAGGCCCACCAAGGCGACGAUCCGUAGCUGGUCUGAGAGGAUGAUCAGCCACACUGGAACUGAGACACGGUCCAGACUCCUACGGGAGGCAGCAGUGGGGAAUAUUGGACAAUGGGCGCAAGCCUGAUCCAGCCAUACCGCGUGGGUGAAGAAGGCCUUCGGGUUGUAAAGCCCUUUUGUUGGGAAAGAAAAGCAGCAGGUUAAUACCCCGCUGUUCUGACGGUACCCAAAGAAUAAGCACCGGCUAACUUCGUG